rnacentral:rRNA from 1 species
AGUCGAGCGGUAGAGAGAAGCUUGCUUCUCUUGAGAGCGGCGGACGGGUGAGUAAUGCCUAGGAAUCUGCCUGGUAGUGGGGGAUAACGUUCGGAAACGGACGCUAAUACCGCAUACGUCCUACGGGAGAAAGCAGGGGACCUUCGGGCCUUGCGCUAUCAGAUGAGCCUAGGUCGGAUUAGCUAGUUGGUGAGGUAAUGGCUCACCAAGGCGACGAUCCGUAACUGGUCUGAGAGGAUGAUCAGUCACACUGGAACUGAGACACGGUCCAGACUCCUACGGGAGGCAGCAGUGGGGAAUAUUGGACAAUGGGCGAAAGCCUGAUCCAGCCAUGCCGCGUGUGUGAAGAAGGUCUUCGGAUUGUAAAGCACUUUAAGUUGGGAGGAAGGGUUGUAGAUUAAUACUCUGCAAUUUUGACGUUACCGACAGAAUAAGCACCGGCUAACUCUGUGCCAGCAGCCGCGGUAAUACAGAGGGUGCAAGCGUUAAUCGGAAUUACUGGGCGUAAAGCGCGCGUAGGUGGUUUGUUAAGUUGGAUGUGAAAUCCCCGGGCUCAACCUGGGAACUGCAUUCA